CGGCGAGUGAAGCGGCAACAGCUCAAAUUUGAAAGCUGGCCCUUUUAGGGUCCGCGUUGUAAUUUGUAGAGGAUGAUUCGGCGAGGGCUCCCGCCUAAGUCCCCUGGAACGGGGCGUCAUAGAGGGUGAGAAUCCCGUAUGUGGUGGGCUGCCUUAGCCAUGUGAAUCUCCUUCGACGAGUCGAGUUGUUUGGGAAUGCAGCUCUAAAUGGGAGGUAAAUUUCUUCUAAAGCUAAAUACCGGCCAGAGACCGAUAGCGCACAAGUAGAGUGAUCGAAAGAUGAAAAGCACUUUGGAAAGAGAGUUAAAAAGUACGUGAAAUUGUUGAAAGGGAAGCGCUUGCAACCAGACUUGUCCGCAGUUGCUCAGCCGGUCUCCUGACCGGCGUACUCUUCUGCGGCCAGGCCAGCAUCAGUUCGGGCGGUCGGAUAAAGACCUCGGGAAUGUAGCUCCUCUCGGGGAGUGUUAUAGCCCGGGGUGGAAUGCGGCCAGCCUGGACUGAGGAUCUCGCUUCGGCAAGGAUGCUGGCGUAAUGGUUGUAAGCGGC
rnacentral:rRNA from 1 species